ACAUCAAGUUGAGAUAAGCUGUCCUGCAGGCAAUGUUUGUGUUGACUCUGCACAUUUGUGAGCAUUCCCUAUGUAUAUGUACAGGUGAUGCAGAUGUCCAGAGUAUGAAGCAGCCUCCGGGCAGCAGCUGCCUGAAGGUUUGGCUGGAGUUUCUUGUGUUGAGCUUGCAGCUCACCAGGACCUCAGGUUGUCCUUGUCUCUUGUUUGUUAACUUUCAGCUUCUUUUCCCAACACAUUAAAGAAAUGUGCUUCAAAGGCAAGGAAGACAGCUAACAUCAAGAUGGGACGGAUAUUUUUCAUGGUAUUAUAUGAUUGUUUGUUUUUUUAAAUUAGAAUCUUCUUUUCAUACUGACAAAUGUUGGAACCCUAAACUUGAUAUGAUGUGUAGUAAUACAAGGAGAUUCAUAUAAGUUCAUGCCAGUCAUUUCAAAAUACAAAGAGAUGUUCAAACUCUGAAUAUCAUAAGAAACUUGAAGCAUUAGACUAAGAAAGGUGAAACUUUAAGAAGACGUGUAGGACAAUAAUGUGAUUUGUAUUUGUUCAUUACAAGGAAUUUAAAGGAUUAUUAAAAAUGACACUAACUGAGCAUUUUUCUUACAUACUGCCAUUCAAACAUGAAAUUAUAUCAAAUCUGCUUCAUUGAUUUUUGAAAACAAUUCGUUAUAAUUAUAAUUAUGCUCCCAAACCUAGAACACUUUGGCCCCGCCCACUCGUAUGCAUAUUUUUCAUUUAAGCGGUCAGCCUUCUGUGGCUGUGAUGUCAUACCAGCCAGUCUGCUAUGUGUUGAUCAUUCGUGUUUACGCGAGGCUAUUGACUGGAAAGUGAUGCAAAAUGAAUUUUGAAUUGAGUUGUAGCGACAAUAUGCUGUAUUGUCUUGCAAUCGGUACACUUCCAGUGCUAUGAAGACUUCUGGUCUUCAUUUCCUGGAUUUCCCCGCGAUCUGCCCAAAAGAGAGCUAUGGCUGGUGUAUUGUCGACGUGCUGAUGUUAAGUAAAAAACAUAAGCAAAUACAACACGUUUUGUACAUUACAUUUCACAAAGAAGAAUUAUGAAAGGGGUCCAGAGUUCAUGGCACAGUAUGGCUACACGAAAUCUAAACCCAAGCUUUUUAAGCUAUCGACGGCAAGAUCAAGACUAUGGUCACUAACAAUGCCAGGUUCACCGAGAGGGGGUCUUUUCAGAAGCCACGAUGGAGAACAAAUAGAAGUGAGUGAAGUAGAUUUAAACUUGAUUGACAAUAUCAAGUUGUAUGAUAUUACCUGGUCGCUUGUAUCUUUCACAGUUUUCAUUUACCAUAGAUUAAUUUCACUGUAUUUUGUUUUUAUGUCACGGUUUUCAGGCAAGUUGUAGGUUUUGGCAGUAGGCUUGUCAUUCAUUAGAGAUUGGGCAUUCGUACUACAUGCACUAGUCGCAAGGCUACUUGGUUUUUAAAAAGAAUUGUCAUAAUUGUUAUGAUUUGUAUAAUUUAUGUAAAAUCCUAAACUCAAAAUUAAUUAUUUUCCGGUUUUAGGAUCUGAAAAAAGCCCAUGAUAGUUUCAAAGCAGCACAAGAUUGUGGACAGUCCCAUCCCGAUAUUCAGCGGGACAUGUCAACAUCACACGUCACUAUCACUUGCUAGUGGAAAACACCAUUUUGAGUGUCAGAUGUCAUGAAUGGUCACUCGAUACCGGACAUCACCAGAGAUCACCUGUCAGAAGAAUCACAAGAUGCAUUCAGGCAAGACCAGUGACCAAGCCCAUGGCUGUACAGAGUGUCCUGUACAAGGGGAUGUUCGAAGAUGACAUGGCCAUUGAGGAAGAUAAGGCUGAGAAAACCACAUGUCUGAUCCAGAUUAUUUCCCUGACAACAAUCUGUCAGAUGAAAAACACGAGGAUCAGUGCCACACUGU